AUGAAGGCUAGGGUUUGGAAUUGGAGUGUUGGGGAAGAUGAAGUGGGUGUGUGUGUUGUUAGAUAUGAGAAAAGAGGGAAAAAUGGAGUUUUUGGGCUAAAAAUCACGUAUGGGGCCCACCAAAAAGGCCGGAUCCCCCGCCUCUUCCCCCGCGGUCACGGCAUGAACCGCGGUUGAAAACGCGGCUGGAAGCAGGGGAGGCC
rnacentral:lncRNA from 1 species